UACGUAGGUGGCAAGCGUUGUCCGGAAUUACUGGGUGUAAAGCGCGUGUAGGCGGGAGGCCAAGUCUGCUGUGAAAUCGCCCGGCUCAACUGGGCGGGGUCGGUGGAAACUGGUCACCUGGAGGACGGUAGAGGCGAGUGGAAUUCCCGGUGUAGUGGUGAAAUGCGUAGAGAUCGGGAGGAACACCAGUGGCGAAGGCGGCUCGCUGGGCCGGCCUGACGCUGAGACGCGAAGGCGUGGGGAGCGAACGGGAUUGAGAAACCCCGGU
rnacentral:rRNA from 1 species